rnacentral:rRNA from 1 species
GAUGAACGCUAGCUACAGGCUUAACACAUGCAAGUCGAGGGGCGGCACAGUGUAGCAAUACACGGGUGGCGACCGGCGCACGGGUGCGUAACGCGUAUCCAACCUUCCCGUUACUCUGGGAUAGCCUUCCGAAAGGGAGAUUAAUACCGGAUGGUGUUCAAGUGGUGCAUAUUAUUUGAACUAAAGAUUUAUCGGUAACGGAUGGGGAUGCGUACCAUUAGAUAGUAGGCGGGGUAACGGCCCACCUAGUCCACGAUGGUUAGGGGUUCUGAGAGGAAGGUCCCCCACACUGGAACUGAGACACGGUCCAG